AAGAACGCUGGCGGGAUGCCUAACGCAUGCAAGUUGAACGAUUUAGAUCGUAGCGUACGGGUGAGUAGAAUCUAGGAAUCUAGCAAAAGAAGUAUCGAAAUGAUUCAAGAUAUAAAUCGUCUUUUGAUGAGCCUAGAAAGGAUUAGGUAGUUGGUUAGGUAAAGGCUGACCAAGCCGACGAUCCUUAGUUGAUUUGUGAGAAUGAUCAGCCACCUUGGGAAUGAGAGAAGGCCCAGACGGGGAAGCUCGGCAGCAGCGCGGAAUUUUGGACAAUGAGGGCAACCUUGAUCUAGCAAUCUCGCGUGGAGGACGGACAGCUAAAAUGGUUGUAAACUCCUUUCGCUAAGAAAGAAAGUGACGUUACUUAGUAAAGAAGCUCCGGCAAAUUCCGU
rnacentral:rRNA from 1 species